UUAUGUGUACCGAAGAAGAAAGGGGAAUUGGGAUUUAGAGACCUUCACAGUUUUAACCUUGCUAUGUUAGCAAAACAGUGUUGGCGACUGGUCCAGAACCCUGACUCCUUAUGUGCACGCGUUUUGAGUGAAAAGUAUUAUCUAGACGGCAACAUUUUGAAGGCAGGACCGAAGAAUGGUUCAUCAUACACUUGGCAAAGUAUUGUCGUGGGCAUCCAAGCGUUCCAAAGGGGUUGUAUUUGGCGUGUUGGGUUGGGGUCACAAAUUAAUAUUUGAAGAGAUCCUUGGAUACCAGAAAGUCCUUCAAAGGUAAUCACCCCGAGAGGUGCAUCGAUGCUCGCUUAGGUUGAGGAGCUUAUUAAUCUGCAUGAUGGGCAGUGAGAUGAAGUGUUGAUUAGAGAUAUAUUCUCCCCGGUGGAUACCAAUAGGUUUCUUCAGAUUCCGUUAAAUGUUCAGCUUGUGGAAGACUUUGUUGCUUGGUACUAUGCACGGCCGGGGACGUUCUCAGUCUGA
rnacentral:rRNA from 1 species